AGCUCUCAAGCACAUGUAGCUUAAUUGCUAUGUUUGUUUGGAUUUGGACUCUGCUGUGUCAAUGCGGCUGGUCUUAAACGUAUUAGCUGGUUCUUAUAAGAGGAUUUGGUUCUACUUGGCGUGAUAAUUAUCUAACGCUGAGGACAGUCUUUUUGGGACUGGCCAGAGAUAUCUUUGGAUUGCUUCUAAAUUUUGUGUCCAAUU
rnacentral:misc_RNA from 1 species